rnacentral:rRNA from 1 species
UACAGAGGUCCCAAGCGUUGUUCGGAUUUACUGGGCGUAAAGGGUGCGUAGGUGGCUAGGUAAGUUCGAUGUGAAAUCUCCGAGCUCAACUCGGAAAUGGCAUUGAAUACUAUCCCGCUUGAGGGUCGGAGGGGAGACUGGAAUUCCCGGUGUAGCAGUGAAAUGCGUAGAUAUCGAGAGGAACACCAGUGGCGAAGGCGAGUCUCUGGACGGCUCCUGACACUGAGGCACGAAAGCUGGGGGAGCAAACAGG